rnacentral:misc_RNA from 1 species
UCUCCGUUGGUGAACCAGCGGAGGGAUCAUUACAGGACUCGCAAGACUCCUACAACCCUGUGAACUUAACUAUAAGCACGUUGCUUCGGCGGGUGUCUCGGAGGGGGUUCUCCCUCCCCGAGACGCUAAACCCGCCGGCAGCCUACUAUACUCUGUCUCUUUGCGUUGGCAUCUCGAGUACAAUCAAACAAGUUAAAACUUUCAACAACGGAUCUCUUGGUUCUG